UUCGGUGGGGANUAGUGGCGAACGGGUGAGUAACACGUGGGCAAUCUGCCCUGCACUCUGGGACAAGCCCUGGAAACGGGGUCUAAUACCGGAUAACACUUCGGGCCUCANGGUCUGUGGUUAAAAGCUCCGGCGGUGCAGGAUGAGCCCGCGGCCUAUCAGCUUGUUGGUGAGGUAAUGGCUCACCAAGGCGACGACGGGUAGCCGGCCUGAGAGGGCGACCGGCCACACUGGGACUGAGACACGGCCCAGACUCCUACGGGAGGCAGCAGUGGGGAAUAUUGCACAAUGGGCGAAAGCCUGAUGCAGCGACGCCGCGUGAGGGAUGACGGCCUUCGGGUUGUAAACCUCUUUCAGCAGGGAAGAAGCGAAAGUGACGGUACCUGCAGAAGAAGCGCCGGCUAACUACGUGCCAGCAGCCGCGGUAAUACGUAGGGCGCANGCGUUGUCCGGAAUUAUUGGGCGUAAAGAGCUCGUAGGCGGCUUGUCACGUCGGGUGUGAAAGCCCGGGGCUUAACCCCGGGUCUGCAUUCGAUACGGGCUAGCUAGAGUGUGGUAGGGGAGAUCGGAAUUCCUGGUGUAGCGGUGAAAUGCGCAG
rnacentral:rRNA from 1 species